GGGGAUUCGUCCCUGAUUACACUGGCGCACGGGUGAGUAAUACGUGAGCAACCUACCUAAUUGAUCGGGAUAACCUGCCGAAAGGUGAGCUAAUACCGGAUAUGAAAUCGUCUGCAUGGAUGAUUUGGAAAGGCUGGGGUAACCUAGCGCGAUUAGAUGGGCUCGCGCCCCAUUAGCUAGUGGUGAGGGUAACUGCCCACCAAGGCUACGAUGGGUAACCGGCCUGAGAGGGUGGCCGGUCACACUGGAACUGAGACACGGUCCAGACUCCUACGGGAGGCAGCAGUGGGGAAUUUUGCGCAAUGGGCGAAAGCCUGACGCAGCGACGCCGCGUGAAUGAUGAAGGCCUUCGGGUCGUAAAGUUCUUUCAGCAGGGAAGAAAGUGUGUGAUAGUAACUGAUCAUAUUUUGACGUUACCUGCAGAAGCAGCCCCGGCUAACUCCGUGCCAGCAGCCGCGGUAAUACGGAGGGGGCAAGCGUUGUUCGGAGUGACUGGGCGUAAAGCGCACGUAGGUUGUGGGGUAAGUUAUUGGUUAAAGGCGACAGCUUAACUGUCGUAGUGCCAGUAAAACUACCUUGCUAGAGUAUCGGAGAGGAAUCGGAAUAUCUGGUGUAGCGGUGGA
rnacentral:rRNA from 1 species